rnacentral:rRNA from 1 species
GAUGAACGCUGGCGGCGUGCCUAAUACAUGCAAGUCGAGCGAACAGAUGAGGAGCUUGCUCCUUUGACGUUAGCGGCGGACGGGUGAGUAACACGUGGAUAACCUACCUAUAAGACUGGGAUAACUUCGGGAAACCGGAGCUAAUACCGGAUAAUAUAUUGAACCGCAUGGUUCAAUAGUGAAAGACGGUUUUGCUGUCACUUAUAGAUGGAUCCGCGCCGCAUUAGCUAGUUGGUAAGGUAACGGCUUACCAAGGCAACGAUGCGUAGCCGACCUGAGAGGGUGAUCGGCCACACUGGAACUGAGACACGGUCCAGACUCCUACGGGAGGCAGCAGUAGGGAAUCUUCCGCAAUGGGCGAAAGCUUGACGGAGCAACGCCGCGUGAGUGAUGAAGGUCUUCGGAUCGUAAAACUCUGUUAUUAGGGAAGAACAAAUGUGUAAGUAACUAUGCACGUCUUGACGGUACCUAAUCAGAAAGCCACGGCUAACUACGUG